AGAUUGAACGCUGGCGGCAGGCCUAACACAUGCAAGUCGAGCGGUAGAGAGGUGCUUGCAUCUCUUGAGAGCGGCGGACGGGUGAGUAAUGCCUAGGAAUCUGCCUAGUGGUGGGGGGAUAACGUUCGGAAACGGACGCUAAUACCGCAUACGUCCUACGGGAGAAAGCGGGGGACCUUCGGGCCUCGCGCCAUUAGAUGAGCCUAGGUCGGAUUAGCUAGUUGGUGAGUAAUGGCUCACCAAGGCGACGAUCCGUAACUGGUCUGAGAGGAUGAUCAGUCACACUGGAACUGAGACACGGUCAGACUCCUACGGGAGCAGCAGUGGGGAAUAUUGGAACAAUGGGACGAAAAGCUGACUCAGCAAUGCCGCGUGUGUGGAAGAAAGGUCUUCGGAUUAGUAAAAGUCAACUUUAACGGUUGGGUAAGGAAGGGUUUAGUAAACCGUUAAAUAACGGUUAGACUAAAC
rnacentral:rRNA from 1 species